rnacentral:rRNA from 1 species
GUGUCAGCAGCCGCGGUAAUACAGAGGUCCCGAGCGUUGUUCGGAUUCACUGGGCGUAAAGGGUGCGCAGGUGGUGGGGUAAGUCGGAUGUGAAAUCUCGGAGCUCAACUCCGAAAUGGCAUUGGAAACUGCUCUGCUGGAGGGUCGGAGGGGGGACUGGAAUGCUUGGUGUAGCAGUGAAAUGCGUAGAUAUCAAGCGGAACACCAGUGGCGAAGGCGAGUCCCUGGACGACACCUGACACUGAGGCACGAAAGCUAGGGGAGCAAACAGGAUUAGAAACCCGGGUAGUCC